GUGACUGUCAGUUUCCUGAGGCCUCCACUGCUAUGCCGCCUAUACAGCCUGUCAAACUGUUAUCUCAGCCUCAUUCACAUCCUUGCCUUUUGGUGUCAGAGUCCCAAGGGAUGCAAAAGAGGGCAAAACUCAAUAGAUGCAGCCUUGACUCACCCGAUGACCAAGUAGGAGCCCUUCCAGUGACCGAGAGGAAGUCUCACAUAUCAGUUCACCUGGAAGUUUGGAAUAUGGUCAUGGACGCUUAACAGGCUUUAGAGAGAAAAACGAGUGAAAAGAAAUAAGAAACCAGAAGGGCAGAAAGGAGCAACGUACAAGGGGAUGGCAGAGACAAGAGCAGCAUUCAAGCAUGAGACUUGGACUAAUUUACAAGAGAGACUGUGGAGCAAAAAAGGUAAAGCUUAGCAUAUGUUAACUGAGAGUUACGUAUCUGCAUCUCAGAAGUAUGU